rnacentral:rRNA from 1 species
GAGGAUCCGAGCGUUAUCCGGAUUUAUUGGGUUUAAAGGGCGCGUAGGCGGGAUGUUAAGUCAGUUGUGAAUGUUUGCGGCUCAACCGUAAAAUCGCAGUUGAUACUGGCUUCCUUGAGUGCGGCAGAGGCAGGCGGAAUUCGUGGUGUAGCGGUGAAAUGCUUAGAUAUCACGAAGAACCCCGAUGGCGAAGGCAGCCUGCUGGACCGUAACUGACGCUGAGGCGCGAAAGUGCGGGUAGCA